GUAAAGGACGCGUAGGCGGGAUGCCAAGUCUGAUGUGAAAUCCUAUGGCUUAACCAUAGAACUGCAUUGGAAACUGGUAACCUAGAGUAUGGGAGGGGGAGAUGGAAUUAGUGGUGUAGGGGUAAAAUCCGUAGAUAUCACUAGGAAUACCGAAAGCGAAGGCGAUCUCCUGGAACAAUACUGACGCUAAGGCGUGAAAGCGUGGGGAGCAAACGGGAUUAGAUACCCCGGUAGUCCACGCCCUAAACGAUGUUCACUAGUCGUCGGAAUGCUAGUCAUUUCGGUGAUGCACUUAACAGAUUAAGUGAACCGCCUGGGGAGUACGGUCGCAAGAUUAAAACUCAAAGGAAUAGACGGGGACCCGCACAAGUGGUGGAGCAUGUGGUUUAAUUCGAAGAUACGCGAAGAACCUUACCUAGCCUUGACAUUGAUAGAACACCCUAGAGAUAGAGUGGUGCCCUUCGGGGAGCUUGAAAACAGGUGCUGCACGGCUGUCGUCAGCUCGUGUCGUGAGAUGUUGGGUUAAGUCCCGCAACGAGCGCAACCCUCGUCCUUAGUUGCCAGCAGGUUAAGCUGGGCACUCUAAGGAGACUGCCUUCGUAAGGAGGAGGAAGGUGAGGACGACGUCAAGUCAUCAUGGCCCUUAUGGCUAGGGCUACACACGUGCUACAAUGGGGCGUACAGAGAGUUGCGAUACCGCGAGGUGGAGCCAAUCUCAUAAAGCGUCUCUCAGUUCGGAUUGAAGUCUGCAACUCGACUUCAUGAAGCUGGAAUCACUAGUAAUCGUAGAUCAGCAAUGCUACGGUGAAUUCGUUCCCGGGCCUUGUACACACCGCCCGUCACACCAUGGAAG
rnacentral:rRNA from 1 species